rnacentral:rRNA from 1 species
AGGACGAACGCUGGCGGCGUGCCUAACACAUGCAAGUCGUGCGAGAAACCCUCCUUCGGGAGGGGAGUACAGCGGCGCACGGGUGAGUAACGCGUAAGUUAUCUGCCCUUUGGUCUGGCAUAACUCCGGGAAACCGGGGCUAAUUCCAGAUGAUGUCGCAAGACCAAAGCCUUCGGGCGCCAAAGGAUGAGCUUGCGUCCCAUUAGCUAGUUGGUAGAGUAAUAGCCUACCAAGGCGACGAUGGGUAGCUGGUCUGAGAGGAUGAUCAGCCACAUUGGGACUGAGACACGGCCCAGACUCCUACGGGAGCAGCAGUGAGGAAUAUUGCGCAAUGGAACGAAAGUCUGACGCAAGC